CCGAGUGAGGGCCCUCUGGGUCCAACCUCCCACCCGUGUCUAUCGUACCUUGUUGCUUCGGCGGGCCCGCCGUUUCGACGGCCGCCGGGGAGGCCUCGCGCCCCCGGGCCCGCGCCCGCCGAAGACCCCAACAUGAACGCUGUUCUGAAAGUAUGCAGUCUGAGUUGAUUAUCAUAAUCAGUUA
rnacentral:misc_RNA from 1 species